rnacentral:rRNA from 1 species
AUUGAACGCUGGCGGCAGGCCUAACACAUGCAAGUCGAGCGAGCGGCGGACGGGUGAGUAAUGUCUGGGAAACUGCCUGAUGGAGGGGGAUAACUACGGGAAACGGAAGCGAAUAUCGCAUACUAUCAGAUGUGCCCAGAUGGGAUUAGCUAGUAGGUGGGGUAACGGCUCACCUAGGCGACGCUCCCUAGCUGGUCUGAGAGGAUGACCAGCCACACUGGAACUGCGACACGGUCCAGACUCCUCCGGGAGGCAGCAGUGGGGAAUAUUGCACAAUUGGCGCAAGCCUGAUGCAGCCAUGCCGCGUGUGUGAUGAAGGCCUUCGGGUUUUAGAGCUCUUUCAGCGGGGAGGCGUUACCCGCAGAAGAAGCACCGGCUAACUCCGUGCCAGCCGCCGCGGUAAUUC